rnacentral:rRNA from 1 species
UACGUAGGGUGCAAGCGUUAAUCGGAAUUACUGGGCGUAAAGGGCGCGUAGGCGGCCUGUUAAGUCGAACGUGAAAUCCCCGGGCUCAACCCGGGAACUGCGUCCGAUACUGGCAGGCUUGAAUCCGGGAGAGGGAUGCGGAAUUCCAGGUGUAGCGGUGAAAUGCGUAGAUAUCUGGAGGAACACCGGUGGCGAAGGCGGCAUCCUGGAUCGGCAUUGACGCUGAGGCGCGAAAGCCAGGGGAGCAAACGGG